rnacentral:rRNA from 1 species
GAAUUUUGGACAAUGGGCGACAGCCUGCUCCAGCAAUGCCGCGGGCUGGUGGAAGGCCUUCGGGUUGUACACUGCCAGUGUACGGAACGAAAAGCUUUGGGAUAAUACACUGGAGUAGUGACCGUACCGUCAGAAAAAGCACCGGCUAACUACGUGCCAGCAGCCGCGGUACUACGUAGGGUGCAAGCGUGAAUUGGAAUUACGUGGCGUAAGGCGUGCGCAGGCGGUUUUGUAAGACAGAGUUGAAAUCCCCGGGCUCAACCUGGGAACUGCCUUUGUGACUGCAAGGCUAGAGUACGGCAGAGGGGGGUGGAAUUCCGCGUGUAGCAGUGAAAUGCGUAGAUAUGCGGAGGAACACCGAUGGCGAAGGCAACCCCCUGGGCCUGUACUGACGCUCAUGCACGAAAGCGUGGGGAGCAAACA